rnacentral:rRNA from 1 species
UAAUACAGAGGUCCCAAGCGUUGUUCGGAUUCAUUGGGCGUAAAGGGUGCGUAGGCGGUUUCCUAAGUCUGGUGUGAAAUCUCGGAGCUCAACUCCGAAACUGCACUGGAUACUGGGAGACUUGAGUACUGGAGGGGAGACUGGAAUUUACGGUGUAGCAGUGAAAUGCGUAGAUAUCGUAAGGAAGACCAGUGGCGAAGGCGAGUCUCUGGACAGUUACUGACGCUGAGGCACGAAGGCUAGGGGAGCAAACGGG